UACGUAGGGUGCAAGCGUUGUUCGGAAUUACUGGGCGUAAAGCGCGCGUAGGCGGGCUUGAAAGUUGAUUGUGAAAGCCCUGGGCUUAACCCGGGAAUGGCAGUCAAAACUACAAGUCUUGAGUGCCUGAGAGGAUCGCGGAAUUCCCGGUGUAGAGGUGAAAUUCGUAGAUAUCGGGAGGAACACCAGUGGCGAAGGCGGCGAUCUGGGAAGAUACUGACGCUGGAGGUGCGAAAGCGUGGGGAGCAAACAGGAUUGAGAA
rnacentral:rRNA from 1 species